UUUCCGUAGGUGAACCUGCGGAAGGAUCAUUAUCGAGUUCUCAUUUCAAGACUUUCGGGUCCUGAAUAUGAUGAAACAUAAAUCCCUUGCGAAACGUUAACCGUUUUUUUACAACAACCAUAUUUUAACCACACAAACAACAAGCUGAUUGUAUGAUUCGAACGAUUCGAACACGAAAAAAUCACAAUAUGUGACAACUUUUAACAACGGAUAUCUUGGCUCUC
rnacentral:misc_RNA from 1 species